CCUGUCCUAGGCAUUGCAGGUGUGGCUGCUGUGUCACAUGUGUGUCAGUAGAUGACAGAGAGGAAAGGGGCUAUCUCUAUGCUCAGUGUUCUGACCCGUGAACACCUCGAUGAUUAAUAACCUAACAUC